rnacentral:snRNA from 1 species
GUUGCUUCUCGGCCUUUUGGCUAAGAUCAAGUGUAGUAUUUGUUCUUAUCAGUUUAAUAUCUGAUACGUUCUCUAUUAGUGGACUAUGUAUUAAAUUGAUUUUUGGAGUUGGGAAAUGGGAUAGGAGCUUGCUUCGUCCACUUCUCGCAUCGAUCUGAUAUUGCAGUGUUUCCAGGAACGGUGCAUCCACU